rnacentral:rRNA from 1 species
GUCGUAACAAGUUUUUUGUAGGUGAACCUGCGGAAAGGAUCAUUAAAGAAAUUAAUAAUUUUGAAAAUGGAUUUUUUUGUUUUGGCAAGAGCAUGAGAGCUUUUACUGGGCAGAAAGACAAGAGAUGGAGAGUCCAGCCGGGCCUGCGCUUAAGUGCGCGGUCUUGCUAGGCUUGUAAGUUUCUUUCUUGCUAUUCCAAACGGUGAGAGAUUUCUGUGCUUUUGUUAUAGGACAAUUAAAACCGUUUCAAUACAACACACUGUGGAGUUUUCAUAUCUUUGCAACUUUUUCUUUGGGCAUUCGAGCAAUCGGGGCCCAGAGGUAACAAACACAAACAAUUUUAUCUAUUCAUUAAAUUUUUGUCAAAAACAAGAAUUUUCGUAACUGGAAAUUUUAAAAUAUUAAAAACUUUCAACAACGGAUCUCUUGGUUCUCGCAUCGAUGAAGAACGCAGCGAAAUGCGAUACGUAAUAUGAAUUGCAGAAUUCCGUGAAUCAUCGAAUCUUUGAACGCACAUUGCGCCCCUUGGUAUUCCAGGGGGCAUGCCUGUUUGAGCGUCAUUUCCUUCUCAAACAUUCUGUUUGGUAGUGAGUGAUACUCUUUGGAGUUAACUUGAAAUUGCUGGCCUUUUCAUUGGAUGUUUUUUUUCCAAAGAGAGGUUUCUCUGCGUGCUUGAGGUAUAAUGCAAGUACGGUCGUUUUAGGUUUUACCAACUGCGGCUAAUCUUUUUUUAUACUGAGCGUAUUGGAACGUUAUCGAUAAGAAGAGGGCGUCUAGGCGAACAAUGUUCUUAAAGUUUGACCUCAAAUCAGGUAGGAGUACCCGCUGAACUUAAGCAUAUCAAUAAGCG